rnacentral:rRNA from 1 species
GAUGAACGCUGGCGGCGUGCUUAACACAUGCAAGUCGAACGGUGAAGGCGGAGCUUGCUCUGCUGGAUCAGUGGCGAACGGGUGAGUAACACGUGAGCAAUCUGCCCCUGACUCUGGGAUAAGCGCUGGAAACGGCGUCUAAUACUGGAUACGAGCUGCGAAGGCAUCUUCAGCAGCUGGAAAGAACUUCGGUCAGGGAUGAGCUCGCGGCCUAUCAGCUUGUUGGUGAGGUAACGGCUCACCAAGGCGUCGACGGGUAGCCGGCCUGAGAGGGUGACCGGCCACACUGGGACUGAGACACGGCCCAGACUCCUACGGGAGGAAGCAGUGGGGAAUAUUGCACAAUGGGCGAAAGCCUGAUGCAGCAACGCCGCGUGAGGGACGACGGCCUUCGGGUUGUAAACCUCUUUUAGCAGGGAAGAAGCGAAAGUGACGGUACCUGCAGAAAAAGCGCCGGCUAACUACGUG